rnacentral:rRNA from 1 species
UAGGGAAUCUUCCACAAUGGACGCAAGUCUGAUGGAGCAACGCCGCGUGAGUGAAGAAGGUCUUCGGAUCGUAAAGCUCUGUUGUUGGUGAAGAAGGAUAGAGGCAGUAACUGGUCUUUAUUUGACGGUAAUCAACCAGAAAGUCACGGCUAACUACGUGCCAGCAGCCGCGGUAAUACGUAGGUGGCAAGCGUUGUCCGGAUUUAUUGGGCGUAAAGCGAGCGCAGGCGGAAUGAUAAGUCUGAUGUGAAAGCCCACGGCUCAACCGUGGAACUGCAUCGGAAACUGUCAUUCUUGAGUGCAGAAGAGGAGAGUGGAACUCCAUGUGUAGCGGUGGAAUGCGUAGAUAUAUGGAAGAACACCAGUGGCGAAGGCGGCUCUCUGGUCUGCAACUGACGCUGAGGCUCGAAAGCAUGGGUAGCGAACAGGAUUAGAUACCCUGGUGAG